GACGAACGCUGGCGGCGUGCUUAACACAUGCAAGUCGAACGGAAAGGCCUGCAGCUUGCUGCGGGUACUCGAGUGGCGAACGGGUGAGUAACACGUGGGUGAUCUGCCUUGCACUUCGGGAUAAGCUUGGGAAACUGGGUUUAAUACCGGAUAGGACAGCUGUUUAGUGUCAGUUGUGGAAAGUUUUUUCGGUGCAAGAUGGGCUCGCGGCCUAUCAGCUUGUUGGUGGGGUAAUGGCCUACCAAGGCGUCGACGGGUAGCCGGCCUGAGAGGGUGUACGGCCACAUUGGGACUGAGGUACGGCCCAGACUCCUACGGGAGGCAGCAGUGGAGAGUAUUGCACAAUGGGCGGAAGCCUGAUGCAGCGACGCCGCGUGGGGGAUGAAGGCCUUCGGGUUGUAAACUCCUUUCGACAGGGACGAAGCUUUUGUGACGGUACCUGUAUAAGAAGCACCGGCUAACUACGUG
rnacentral:rRNA from 1 species